UACGUAGGUGGCGAGCGUUAUCCGGAUUUAUUGGGUUUAAAGGGAGCGUAGGCGGCUGAUUAAGUCAGCGGUGAAAGGUAGCAGCUUAACUGUUUUACAUGCCGUUGAUACUGGUUAGCUUGAGUUGACAGAAGGCAGAUAGAAUUCCUGGUGUAGCGGUGAAAUGCUUAGAUACCAGGAGGAAUACCGAUUGCGAAGGCAGUCUGCUGCAGUCACACUGAUGCUGAGGCUCGAAGGUGCGGGGAUCAACAGG
rnacentral:rRNA from 1 species